UACGAGGGGGGCGAGCGUUGUUCGGAAUUAUUGGGCGUAAAGGGUGCGUAGGCGGGUCUUUAAGUCAGGGGGGAAAUCCUGGAGCUCAACUCCAGAACUGCCUUUGAUACUGAGGAUCUUGAGUUCGGGAGAGGCGAGUGGAACUGCGAGUGUAGAGGUGAAAUUCGUAGAUAUUCGCAAGAACACCAGUGGCGAAGGCGGCUCACUGGCCCGAUACUGACGCUGAGGCACGAAAGCGUGGGGAGCAAACAGG
rnacentral:rRNA from 1 species